UACGUAGGGGGCAAGCGUUGUCCGGAAUUGUUGGGCGUAAAGAGCUCGUAGGCGGUUUGUCGCGUCUGCUGUGAAAACUCGGGGCUCAACCCCGAGCUUGCAGUGGGUACGGGCAGACUAGAGUGCGGUAGGGGAGACUGGAAUUCCUGGUGUAGCGGUGGAAUGCGCAGAUAUCAGGAGGAACACCGGUGGCGAAGGCGGGUCUCUGGGCCGUAACUGACGCUGAGGAGCGAAAGCAUGGGGAGCGAACAGG
rnacentral:rRNA from 1 species